GACGAACGCUGGCGGCGUGCUUAACACAUGCAAGUCGAACGGAAAGGCCCUGCUUUUGUGGGGUGCUCGAGUGGCGAACGGGUGAGUAACACGUGAGUAACCUGCCCUUGACUUUGGGAUAACUUCAGGAAACUGGGGCUAAUACCGGAUAGGAGCUCCUGCUGCAUGGUGGGGGUUGGAAAGUUUCGGCGGUUGGGGAUGGACUCGCGGCUUAUCAGCUUGUUGGUGGGGUAGUGGCUUACCAAGGCUUUGACGGGUAGCCGGCCUGAGAGGGUGACCGGCCAAAUUGGGACUGAGAUAAGGCCCCGACUCCUACGGGAGGCAGCAGUGGGGAAUAUUGCACAAUGGGCGGAAGCCUGAUGCAGCCACGCCGCGUGCGGGAUGACGGCCUUCGGGUUGUAAACCGCUUUCGCCUGUGACGAAGCGUGAGUGACGGUAAUGGGUAAAGAAGCACCGGCUAACUACGUG
rnacentral:rRNA from 1 species